ACUAUAUUUAUAGCCCUACCCAACAUAUAUGUAUAUCAAUAUCAAUUUUAAUAGACCUAAAACAUUUAUAGAUUAUACUAUUAGUAUAGGUGAUAGAAAAUAAUUUUAAUAUAGGAGCCAUAGAGUCAGUACCGUAAGGGAAAAAUGAAAGACUUAAAAAAGUAUAUAAAAGCAAAGAUUAAGUCUUGUACCUUUUGCAUAAUGAAUUAACCAGAAAUUACAUGACAAAAAGAAUUGCAGCCAUGAACCCCGAAACCAGACGAGCUACCCAUGAACAGCAAUAAAAGAGCCAACUCAUCUAUGUAGCAAAAUAGUGAGAAGAUUUAUAGGUAGAGGUGAAAAGCCUAUCGAGCCUGGUGAUAGCUGGUUGCCCAUUAAUGAAUUUUAGUUCUGCUUAAAAUAUACCAUUCAUAUAAACAAAUUUAAUGUAUAUUUUAAUGUUAAUUUAAAAAGGUACAGCUUUUUAAAUAAAGGGUACAACCUUAUUUGGAGAGAAUGCAUUUAAAUAAACCAUAGUAGGCUUAAGAGCAGCCAUCAAUUAAGAAAGCGUUCAAGCUCAACCACUUAAACUACUCAAUAUAUCAUAAAUAACAAAAAUCUCCCAAAAAAUAUAAUUGGGCCAAUCUAGCAAAACCUAGAUGUAAUACUGUUAAUAUGAGUAAUAAGACUAUUAAGUCUCCUGGCACAAGUUUAUAUCAGAACGAAUAUAUCACUGAUAGUUAACACAUGAUAUUAUAAAACCACAACUAUAAAUUUAUUCUUAUCAUAUAUAUAUAUAUAUAUAUAUAUAYAYAUAUAUAUAUAUAUAUAUAUUUACAUACUGUUGACCCAACACCGGAGUGCCAUAAAGGAAAGAUUAAAAGAUGAGAAAGGAACUCGGCAAACAUAAACCCCGCCUGUUUACCAAAAACAUCACCUCUAGCAUAAAAAGUAUUAGAGGCAUUGCCUGCCCAGUGACAUAAGUUAAACGGCCGCGGUAUUCUGACCGUGCAAAGGUAGCAUAAUCACUUGUUCUUUAAUUAGGGACUUGUAUGAAUGGCGUGACGAGGGUUUAACUGUCUCUCCCAUCUAAUCAAUGAAAUUGACCUUUUCGUGAAGAGGCGAAAAUUUAAUAAUAAGACGAGAAGACCCUAUGGAGCUUAAAUUUUAUGACUCUAUACAGUUAAUAAAUUAAUCUAAAUCUGAAAUAAAAAAUAACAAAUUAAUAGAGUAAGAGAUUUUGGUUGGGGUGACCUCGGAGCACAAAUCAACCUCCGAAAGACUAUCUUCUAGACCUACAAGUCGAAAAUACUAAAGUCUAAUUUGAUCCAGCAAACUGAUCAAUGGACCAAGUUACCCUAGGGAUAACAGCGCAAUCUUAUUGGAGAGUCCAUAUCGAUAAUAAGGUUUACGACCUCGAUGUUGGAUCAGGACAUCCUAAUGGUGCAGAAGCUAUUAAGGGUUCGUUUGUUCAACGAUUAAAGUCCUACGUGAUCUGAGUUCAGACCGGAGAAAUCCAGGUCGGUUUCUAUCUAUUUUAAACGUUUUUCCCAGUACGAAAGGACCAGAAAAACAAGGCCUACUUAAACAUAAGCGCCUUAAUAAAUUACAUAUGAUUUUAUAUCAAUAUGGAAAAUAAAAUUAACUUUAAACUAAGAGAAAGUUA
rnacentral:rRNA from 1 species